AGUGCUCUUCUGGGGGAGCUUGUUCGUCCCUUUGCCCUUGCACCAUGUUAGGACACAGCUAGAAGGUGCCAUCUUUGUUUUUUGUUUUUGUUUGUUUUUGAUUUUGUUUUUUGGAGACAAGAUCUCACUCUGUUGCCCAGGCUGGAGUGCAGUGGCGCAAUGUCAGCUCACUGGAACCUCCACCUCCUGGCCUCAAGCGAUUCUCGUGCCUCAGCCUCCUGUGUAGCUGGGAUUACAGAGUCUCCUCGGGACUGUCACCUUACAAUUGCCCCCACAAUGGGCCCCAGUGGGAAGCUGGCCUGUUGUUUUUUGCCUUGAGUCUUUGGCUGAUCUACAUGGGAAAGGCAUAUCCCCAGCUACAGAACCAGCACAACGUGGACUAUGUAAUAUUCAAGGGUAUAUGUCCCUUCUCCAUCUCAUAGAUCCCCUUCCACCGCCUUGACACUGAAGAGCAACCUCCCCAUCACUCCUUUCUCAUUGUUCCUGGGUUUCUCUCUGAGACUGCGAGGGCGUAGAAUGAGGAAUGAAAAAGACAUGCAACCCCAUCUCACCAUGAAGGAGAAUCACAAUCACGGGUUGCUGAGAACAUGUAAGAGGUAGCUCUAAGCUAGCCUGGGAGGUAAAGGAAGGCUUCCAGGAGGAGGUGACCUUUACAUUGAGACAGAAAGGAUGAACAGGAAUAAGCUAGGAAGAGGGAGUGAAGAGGGCUUUCCAGGUGAAGGGAACGACCCAUUCAAAGCCUGGAGGCAGGACAGAGUAUGAGCUGCUUGAGAAACAGAAAUCAGGCCAAUGUGCUCGGCACUCAGCGUAGCAUGGAGAGCCAAGGGGAGGGAGGAAGAGAUGAGGCCAGGGAGAGGCCACGGGGAGGAUUCUAGACUUGGAGGCUUUUCCUGAGUUUGGAAAAGCCCAAAUUACCAAGCUCUUCCAGGGAGAAUAACUCAACUGGGCAGAUUGUGUGAGCUGGAGCGGAGGUGGAGGUCAGGACGCCAAGAUGGAAUUUUCUGGCUUUUCUGCACACUGGGGACAGUUGCAGGGCUGUCUAGAUCCCACAGAGCUCAACAAUAUGCCUGACUCACCACCCCUCUGAGGCUGCCCAGCCCACAGGUGACAGUGUCAGGGCUGCGGCCACCCGCCUGGUUCUGCCACUCAGCGACCUUGGACAAGGCCCCCCUACCCACAAGUCUCUUUAUUCAUACAAUUGUAAUGACAGCUACGUCCCAGCCUUAC
rnacentral:lncRNA from 1 species